AUUGAACGCUGGCGGCAGGCUUAACACAUGCAAGUCGAGCGGGGGAAGGUAGCUUGCUACCGGACCUAGCGGCGGACGGGUGAGUAAUGCUUAGGAAUCUGCCUAUUAGUGGGGGACAACAUCUCGAAAGGGAUGCUAAUACCGCAUACGUCCUACGGGAGAAAGCAGGGGAUCUUCGGACUUUGCGCUAAUAGAUGAGCCUAAGUCGGAUUAGCUAGUUGGUGGGGUAAAGGCCUACCAAGGCGACGAUCUGCAGCGGGUCUGAGAGGAUGAUCCGCCACACUGGGACUGAGACACGGCCCAGACUCCUACGGGAGGCAGCAGUGGGGAAUAUUGGACAAUGGGGGGAACCCUGAUCCAGCCAUGCCGCGUGUGUGAAGAAGGCCUUAUGGUUGUAAAGCACUUUAAGCGAGGAGGAGGCUACUUUAGUUAAUACCUAGAGAUAGUGGGCGUUACUCGCAGAAUAAGCACCGGCUAACUCUGUGCCAGCCGCCGCCGUAA
rnacentral:rRNA from 1 species